CAGAGGCGCGAAGUGCAUCAGUAACCUUGUUUGUACGCCCCAGCCAGGGGCAUAAGCAGGGCGAAAGGGUACUUUGCCGAAGGCAAUGCACGGCACGCAUUGGCCUGGGUCCGUAACCGAACAGGUGCGGGACUGUCACACCCCAAUCAGUGUGUUGCGCUGU
rnacentral:ncRNA from 1 species